GCCGAGUGGGAGUGGCCAUGAAGCCCUUCCACCUCGCCAGUUUCGAAGACUCUAGAGAGUGUCCUUUUCUGAAAUGUGGGGAGAGGUUUGAGGGGAAAAGGGAUGACCCUGUGGUGUCUGCAUUUCAGAUCCACACAACUUGAAGAUCUGCUGCCGACUCAACGGGGAGGUGGUCCAGAGCAGCAACACCAACCAGAUGGUGUUUAAGACGGAAGAGCUGAUAGCCUGGGUCUCCCAGUUUGUCACCCUUUACCCAGGGGACAUCUUCCUGACUGGGACGCCCCCAGGUGUUGGUGUAUUCAGGAAACCGCCUGUCUUUCUCAAGAAGGGAGAUGAAGUCCAGUGUGAGAUCGAAGACCUGGGGGUCAUCAUCAACAAGGUGGUGUGAUGGCCCCUGUGCA